CAGUAGCCGCGGUAAUACGUAUGUCGCAAGCGUUAUCCGGAAUUAUUGGGCAUAAAGGGCAUCUAGGCGGCCAGACAAGUCUGGGGUGAAAACUUGCGGCUCAACCGCAAGCCCGCCCUGGAAACUGUUUGGCUAGAGUGCUGGAGAGGUGGACGGAACUGCACGAGUAGAGGUGAAAUUCGUAGAUAUGUGCAGGAAUGCCGAUGAUGAAGAUAGUUCACUGGACGGCAACUGACGCUGAAGUGCGAAAGCUAGGGGAGCGAACAGGAUUAGAUACCCGGGUAGUCCCUGUCUCUUAUAA
rnacentral:rRNA from 1 species